rnacentral:rRNA from 1 species
GACGAACGCUGGCGGCGUGCUUAACACAUGCAAGUCGAACGGAAAGGCCCUGCUUUUGUGGGGUGCUCGAGUGGCGAACGGGUGAGUAACACGUGAGUAACCUGCCCUUGACUUUGGGAUAACUUCAGGAAACUGGGGCUAAUACCGGAUAGGAGCUCCUGCUGCAUGGUGGGGGUUGGAAAGUUUCGGCGGUUGGGGAUGGACUCGCGGCUUAUCAGCUUGUUGGUGGGGUAGUGGCUUACCAAGGCUUUGACGGGUAGCCGGCCUGAGAGGGUGACCGGCGACAUUGGGACUGAGGUACGGCCCAGACUCCUACGGGAGGCAGCAGUGGGGAAUAUUGCACAAUGGGCGGAAGCGUGAUGCAGAAACGCCGCGUGCGGGAUGACGGCCUUCGGGUUGUAAACCGCUUUCGCCUGUGACGAAGCGUGAGUGACGGUAAUGGGUAAAGAAGCACCGGCUAACUACGUG